AAAAUGCGAUACGUCAUGUGAAUUGCAGAGCACGGCGAAUCAUCGAAUCUUUGAACGCACAUUGCGCCCUGGAAGCCACGGUUUUCAGGGCACGUCUUUUUGAGUGCCUUUAACAAUAGUUUACCGCUCGUACAAACUUUGUUUGCAUGGGCUGGUAUAUUGGAUUCCCAGAUGAUCUCUACAAUGGCGGUCUAUGCUGGCUUUCCGAAGUGUAUGGAUGAACAUCUGACCCUACGAUGGGACCUGGCAACAGGUUGUUUUGAGAAUAUAAUUGAGAUGUGCAAAUGUCCAAGUUCUCGACCUCAUUGUAACAAGAUGCCCUAUCCUCAAUAGGAAAACUGAUCUUUUAGACCAGUAAAACCGACGAUGGCCUCAAAUAAGACGGGAUUACCCGCUGAAU
rnacentral:misc_RNA from 1 species